rnacentral:rRNA from 1 species
AAUCAACGCUGGCGGCGUGCCUCAGACAUGCAAGUCGAACGAUUAAGACUUCCUUCGGGAAGUGCAUAAAGUGGCGCACGGGUGAGUAACACGUAAGUAAUCUACCCUCGAGUGGGGAAUAACGUUCGGAAACGAACGCUAAUACCGCAUAAUGCAGCGGCAUCGCAAGAUGACAGUUGUUAAAGGAGUAAUUCGCUUGAGGAGGAGCUUGCGGCAGAUUAGCUAGUUGGUAAGGUAACGGCUUACCAAGGCUACGAUCUGUAUCCGGUCUAAGAGGACGGUCGGACACACUGACACUGAAUAACGGGUCAGACUCCUACGGGAGGCAGCAGUCGGGAAUGUUGGGCAAUGGGGGAAACCCUGACCCAGCAACGCCGCGUGAAGGAUGAAGUAUUUCGGUAUGUAAACUUCGAAAGAAUGGGAAGAAUAAAUGACGGUACCAUUUAUAAGCUCCGGCUAACUACGUGCCAGCCGCCGCGGUAAUAC